UGGUCUCCUGGAAAAGGGUGGUAAUGCCGGAUGCUCCAGUUGAUCGCAUGGUCUUCUGGGAAAGCUUUCGCGGUAUGGGAUGGGGUCGCGUCCUAUCAGCUUGACGGCGGGGUAACGGCCCACCGUGGCUUCGACGGGUAGCCGGCCUGAGAGGGCGACCGGCCACAUUGGGACUGAGAUACGGCCCAGACUCCUACGGGAGGCAGCAGUGGGGAAUAUUGCACAAUGGGCGCAAGCCUGAUGCAGCGACGCCGCGUGAGGGAUGGAGGCCUUCGGGUUGUAAACCUCUUUUAUCGGGGAGCAAGCGAGAGUGAGUUUACCCGUUGAAUAAGCACCGGCUAACUACGUGCCAGCAGCCGCGGUAAUACGUAGGGUGCAAGCGUUAUCCGGAAUUAUUGGGCGUAAAGGGCUCGUAGGCGGUUCGUCGCGUCCGGUGUGAAAGUCCAUCGCUUAACGGUGGAUCCGCGCCGGGUACGGGCGGGCUUGAGUGCGGUAGGGGAGACUGGAAUUCCCGGUGUAACGGUGGAAUGUGUAGAUAUCGGAAAAGAACACCACCCCCG
rnacentral:rRNA from 1 species